ensembl:lncRNA
CCCUGAGUCACUACAGUAUCCACCCUGAGUCACUACAGUAUCCACCCUGAGUCACUACAGUAUCCACCCUGAGUCACUACAGUAUCCACUGAGUCAUUACAGUAUCCACUGAGUCACUACAGUAUCCACUCUGAGUCACUACAACAGUGUAACUUCAUAGGAACCCAGACCCAACACCUAAAGAAACUUCAGUAUUUUAAGAUUUGGUUUUUCGUCAAUAUUUAAUGACAAUGUCUGUGAAAGGCAGCGCUUGCAAGGUGUGUUCGGUUUUAACUUGGCCUUCGACCUCUGAUAUAGAACAAGCAUUUUGAGUGAACCCACUGUCGUAUUCUUUUUUUUUCUGAUUGCUUUGGGACCUGUCUGUUAGCUUUGGCAGUUGGAAUGAGUCUCAAGUCUCCACAACAUAAUGUAAACAUACAACUUCCUGGCAUCAUAGAAGGGGAGCAAUCAGCCCGUAAGCCAAUCAGACUCUGUGGUCAGCUAGGGUUAUCUUUUAGAAGGAAAAGAGGCUCUUCCCUUUAUCAAAGUACCUUUCCACAGACUGUAUUUUUGCUGUUCAUCUACUGGUUGAACAGAAGAAGAAAAACGGAUAAUCAGGCCAUUUCGGCAUAGACGUGCAAAUUGGAGUUGUGUGUGUGUGUGGGGGCACAACACAAUGAUUCAGCAUCUACUGUCCCUGAAAUAUCCCAAAGUGCACAGAGAGGUAGAAAUGAUUUCCUGCUGAAAAAGCCAUCCUGUCAUCACUCCUACACUUCCCUCAACGGCACAGGAUCUAGAGGUUCAUCUUGUUUUCGGAGGCUCUGAUAUUUCUAUCCGUAUAUCAUGGGUAGAAGAUGAAGAAAUAGACCCAGUCUGUUUGUUAAACCCAACGGUUGUGGGAUCAUUUUACUCUCAUAUCCUCGUGUUACACCACUUUGUUUUCUACAGGAAAUUAAAUAUUCUGGCAACCAUUUUACAAAGAACACGUAGUCGACUCCUUUUACAUGCUAAAAGUUCCUAAAUGAUCGGUGUAAAAAGAGUAUUGAUAAGGGACUUAAAAUUAGUAUUUUAUGCCUGGCAGUUUAUUAUGCUUGGGGCUUUAUAUCAUGUUUUACAGAAUGGAAACCCUUGGCCAAAAGAUGUGGUGUACUUAGGCUGACCUUUCAACCUUUCAAUCAUCAAGGGUUCACCAUCAUCAAACUGCCAAGUUGUGAAUGUGUCGACUUUGCAGGACGCUGAGAACUACUUUCACGGAUUCCUCCGGUACUGCUGCUCAUCCCGUUCACCAGCUCAGGAGGUCUAUGUCACCGUACUUCUACGCGUCACUGAACUGGACUCAUUACCACCAACCCCGGACUGUCUUGUCUCAUUACACACACCUGGUUCCCAUUCCCCCUAGUAUGUGUAUAUAUGUGCCGUCUGUUCCACAUUGUCCUUGUUGGUUAUUGUUCCAUGUUCGUUGGUCUUGUACCUGUGCUCUGUUGUAUCAGCUUGCAUGUUACCGUGUUAGUGUGCACUACUUAUUACGGGUCUCGUCCCGUGUAUUGUUAUUACGG